UACGUAGGGUCCGAGCGUUGUCCGGAAUUACUGGGCGUAAAGAGCUCGUAGGUGGUUUGUCGCGUUGUCCGUGAAAACUCACAGCUCAACUGUGGGCGUGCGGGCGAUACGGGCAGACUGGAGUACUGCAGGGGAGACUGGAAUUCCUGGUGUAGCGGUGGAAUGCGCAGAUAUCAGGAAGAACACCCGUGGCGAAGGCGGCUCUCUGGGACGGUACUGACGCUGAGACGCGAAAGCGUGGGGAGCGAACAGG
rnacentral:rRNA from 1 species